CGCUGCCUGGCCUGGGGCCCGGCAGGCAGCGCGGGCUUCGAACUCGCGAGCGCGAUGCCGACGGUCACUCCAUCGAGCGAUGUC
rnacentral:tRNA from 1 species